UAUAUAUAUAUAAUAAUUUUUUGCUUCAGUGCGAAUCAUCAAAAUGGUUCUUUUGUAAGGGCCCCAGAAGACUAUAGUUGGUUUCCCAGAUGACAUUUUUAAGAAUUGCUCGAGUAGGGAUCAAAUGCAUUUCCUUCUUCAGAAGCCUGUCUGUUGAUUUGAUGCGCAUGCGCACGUAGUUACUUGUAAAUCCUUGAAUUUUCCUUGGAGAAGCUUUUUCACUUCAUUAUUGGCGUCGAGCAUAAACUGCUCCACUCUUUCAGGGUUGGUUUCUUGCAGCUUGGCCUUUAU